GACGAACGCUGGCGGCGUGCCUAAUACAUGCAAGUCGAACGCAGUGGGGAUGGGUGAGUAACACGUGGGUAACCUCCCAUCAGAGGGGAUAAAACUUGGACACAGGUUCUAAACCGAUAAUGAUGGAUGGACCCGCGGUGCAUUAGCUAGGUUGUGAGGUAACGGCUCACCAAGGCCACGAUGCAUAGCCGACCUGAGAGGGUGAUCGGCAACACUGGGACUGAGACACGGCCCAGACUCCUACGGGAGGCAGAAGUAGGGAAUCUUCGGCAAUGGACGAAAGUCUGACCGAGCAACGCCGCGUGAGUGAAGAAGGUUUUCGGAUCGUAAAACUCUGUUGUUAGAGAAGCGGUAUCUAACCAGAAAGCCACGGCUAACUACGUGCCAGCCGCCACGGUAAUUC
rnacentral:rRNA from 1 species